rfam:Triticum aestivum genome assembly, contig: Triticum_aestivum_CS42_TGACv1_scaffold_579862_7BL
CUAACACUCCCUCCGUCUGAAAAUACUUGUCAUGAAAAUGUACAAACAGAAAGAGACGUAUUUAGAACUAAAAUACGUCUAAGAUACAUCCUCUUUUAUCCAUUUUGAUGACAAGUAUUUUCGAACGUAGGGAGUAGUAA